CUCCGGUUGAUCCUGCCGGACCCGACUGCUAUCAGAGUGGGACUAAGCCAUGCGAGUCAACGUAGCAAUACGUGGCAUACGGCUCAGUAACACGUAGUCAACAUGCCCAGGGGACGAGGAUAACCUCGGGAAACUGAGGAUAAACCUCGAUAGGCCAUGAUUUCUGGAAUGAUUCUUGGCUCAAACCUAUAUGGCCCCUGGAUUGGACUGCGGCCGAUCAGGCUGUUGGUGAGGUAAUGGCCCACCAAACCUAUUACCGGUACGGGCUCUGAGAGGAGGAGCCCGGAGAUGGGCACUGAGACAAGGGCCCAGGCCCUAUGGGGCGCAGCAGGCGCGAAACCUCUGCAAUAGGCGAAAGCUUGACAGGGUUACUCUGAGUGAUUUCCGCUAAGGGAAUCUUUUGGCACCUCUAAAAAUGGUGCAGAAUAAGGGGUGGGCAAGUCUGGUGUCAGCCGCCGCGGUAAUACCAGCACCCCGAGUGGUCGGGACGAUUAUUGGGCCUAAAGCAUCCGUAGCCGGUCCUGCAAGUCUUCCGUUAAAUCCAGCUGCUCAACAGAUGGGCUGCGGGAGAUACUACAGGGCUAGGAGGCGGGAGAGGCAAGCGGUACUUUAUGGGUAGGGGUAAAAUCCGCUGAUCCAUAGAAGACCACCAGUGGCGAAGGCGGCUUGCCAGAACGCGCUCGACGGUGAGGGAUGAAAGCUGGGGGAGCAAACCGGAUUAGAUACCCGGGUAGUCCCAGCUGUAAACGAUGCAGACUCGGUGAUGGGUUGGCCUCGCGCCUGCCCAGUGCCGCAGGGAAGCCGUUAAGUCUGCCGCCUGGGGAGUACGGUCGCAAGACUGAAACUUAAAGGAAUUGGCGGGGGAGCA
rnacentral:rRNA from 1 species